GACGGGGGGGGCAAGUGUUCUUCGGAAUGACUGGGCGUCAAGGGCACGUAGGCGGUGAAUCGGGUUGAAAGUGAAAGUCGCCAAAAAGUGGCGGAAUGCUCUCGAAACCAAUUCACUUGAGUGGGACAGAGGAGAGUGGAAUUUCGUGUGUAGGGGUGAAAUCCGUAGAUCUACGAAGGAAGGCCAAAAGCGAAGGCAGCUCUCUGGGUCCCUACCGACGCUGGGGUGCGAAAGCAUGGGGAGCGAACAGG
rnacentral:rRNA from 1 species